rnacentral:rRNA from 1 species
GACGAACGCUGUCGGCGUGCUUAACACAUGCAAGUCGAACGGAAAGGCCCUGCUUUUGUGGGGUGCUCGAGUGGCGAACGGGUGAGUAACACGUGAGUAACCUGCCCUUGACUUUGGGAUAACUUCAGGAAACUGGGGCUAAUACCGGAUAGGAGCUCCUGCUGCAUGGUGGGGGUUGGAAAGUUUCGGCGGUUGGGGAUGGACUCGCGGCUUAUCAGCUUGUUGGUGGGGUAGUGGCUUACCAAGGCUUUGACGGGUAGCCGGCCUGAGAGGGUGACCGGCCACAUUGGGACUGAGAUACGGCCCAGACUCCUACGGGAGGCAGCAGUGGGGAAUAUUGCACAAUGGGCGGAAGCCUGAUGCAGCAACGCCGCGUGCGGGAUGACGGCCUUCGGGUUGUAAACCGCUUUCGCCUGUGACGAAGCGUGAGUGACGGUAAUGGGUAAAGAAGCACCGGCUAACCACGUGCCAGCAGCCGCGGUGAUACGUAGGGUGCGAGCGUUGUCCGGAUUUAUUGGGCGUAAAGGGCUCGUAGGUGGUUGAUCGCGUCGGAAGUGUAAUCUUGGGGCUUAACCCUGAGCGUGCUUUCGAUACGGGUUGACUUGAGGAAGGUAGGGGAGAAUGGAAUUCCUGGUGGAGCGGUGGAAUGCGCAGAUAUCAGGAGGAACACCAGUGGCGAAGGCGGUUCUCUGGGCCUUUCCUGACGCUGAGGAGCGAAAGCGUGGGGAGCGAACAGGCUUAGAUACCCUGGUAGUCCACGCUGUAAACGGUGGGUACUAGGUGUGGGGUCCAUUCCACGGGUUCCGUGCCGUAGCUAACGCUUUAAGUACCCCGCCUGGGGAGUACGGCCGCAAGGCUAAAACUCAAAGGAAUUGACGGGGCCCCGCACAAGCGGCGGAGCAUGCGGAUUAAUUCGAUGCAACGCGUAGAACCUUACCUGGGUUUGACAUGGAUCGGGAGUGCUCAGAGAUGGGUGUGCCUCUUUUGGGGUCGGUUCACAGGUGGUGCAUGGCUGUCGUCAGCUCGUGUCGUGAGAUGUUGGGUUAAGUCCCGCAACGAGCGCAACCCUUGUUCACUGUUGCCAGCACGUUAUGGUGGGGACUCAGUGGAGACCGCCGGGGUCAACUCGGAGGAAGGUGGGGAUGACGUCAAGUCAUCAUGCCCCUUAUGUCCAGGGCUUCACGCAUGCUACAAUGGCUGGUACAGAGAGUGGCGAGCCUGUGAGGGUGAGCGAAUCUCGGAAAGCCGGUCUCAGUUCGGAUUGGGGUCUGCAACUCGACCUCAUGAAGUCGGAGUCGCUAGUAAUCGCAGAUCAGCAACGCUGCGGUGAAUACGUUCCCGGG